UACGUAGGGGGCGAGCGUUGUCCGGAUUUAUUGGGCGUAAAGAGCUCGUAGGCGGUUCGGUAAGUCGGAUGUGAAAUCUCCACGCUCAACGUGGAGGGGCCAUUCGAUACUGCCGUGACUCGAGUCCGGUAGGGGAGUGUGGAAUUCCCGGUGUAGCGGUGAAAUGCGCAGAGAUCGGGAGGAACACCCGUAGCGAAGGCGGCACUCUGGGCCGGUACUGACGCUGAGACGCGAAAGCGUGGGGAGCAAACAGG
rnacentral:rRNA from 1 species